rnacentral:lncRNA from 1 species
UCGUACGUUUCCACAUGUCCCUCCGCAUCACUAUGGUAAUUGCUGUCGUCCGAUAACACUUCCUCCUCUUCCUCACUAUUCAUUACAAGAUAAUUGCGGGCGGCAUCGUUUUCCAUAUCACCAAUGAUCAUAUCAAUAUCCAUGUCAUCAAUAUCCCUGUCGCUGUCUUCUUCGAAAUCAUCGUAGUCUAUUCGAGCUCAUGCCAUUUUUCAAACACUUUCUCACAGCACAGAACUCUCACUUUAUACAGAACUUCUUUCUCAAGCUUCAAAAUUCGGAAUGCUCGUUUUGGAAAUAUCUUGGAAGAAGGAAGCUAAUUUUUCGCGUGUAGCCCGUAGAAAAAUAAGAGUAGGGUUUGCUAGAGGCGAGGGUGGAGACUUGAUGAGGAGGGGAUUUGUUGUUAAUUUUGGGGAACGUAGGUAAUAAACUUCCAACAGCGAGUGAGAAACCUUUGUAUUUUCCAACAGAGAGAAAGUUUAGGAUUUAGAGAAAACUAUUUUUCGUGCUAUCAAGUACGUUCUAACACUAUACUAGGUCCGGUGCCAGUCGUGAUAAACGUCUAGACAAUUUUCGCGGUUGGCGCCAGUAGGAUGUCAGAACGUACAUCUGAGUAAAAAAAGUCCUGAAAGAAUUCAGUCGUAUAAGAAUUUGUUCAUAUUAUAAUAAGAGAUUGUUAAGAUAUAAUGUAAAAUUACUUACCUAUGUCGGGAUCGAACCUGGGGCGGGCCACCCAUAUGACCACUCACUCAAUCACCUGAACCACGCAGGUUACAAUCAAGUUUAAAUGUUAUACUACACAUAGCUUAUCCGCUAAACGUUAUCUUACGAUAUAUUAAAAUCAGAGUUAAACAUUCCAGCAGCCGAGUGUCGGCGCUUCAAUAGCAAAAGUACCGCAUGGUCAUGAACAUAAUCUUAAACAAUAAUUCCUAGAAUAAAGAUAGAAAAGUGCAGUAGGGUAAUAAAACAUACCCUUCGUAACGUCAUAUCCCCUCACUCUCACCCUCCCUCGGGUUAGGACCCCCACCGACCCAGAACCGACCUGGGUUGGGACCCCCGCCGACCCAGAACCGACCUGGGGUAGGACCGAUCUUACCCCCUCCCCAAAAGUGGUCCAGAACUCUCCUAGAUACUCUACUUAUAAUAUGAGACAUGAUAUACGUUCUUGGGUUUUAAAGCAUAAUAUUACUCAUACAGCCGUCAAUGAACUUCUCGAAAUAUUAAGAAAACAUAAAUGUCACGAACUGUUACCGAAAGAUGUCAGAUCCUUAAUGAGAACUUCACGAUGUGUACAAUCGGAUAUCGUAUAUUUCUCUCAGCAGCAGAAAUAUAUACAUUUUGAUUUAGAAGAAGGCAUCAAAGUUUCUAUAUACAAACAUUAUGUUUCUCUUCCUCAGGAAGUACGUUUGAAUUUUAAUAUAAAUGAAUUGCCCAUAUCCAAAAGUUCUUCAGAACAAUUUUGGCCUAUAUUAGCUGCUUUAGUGAACAAUACUUCAUAUACAGAACCAUUUCCAGCUGGAAUUUACUGUGGUAAAACAAAACCAGAAGAUGUUAAUAUUUUCCUACAAUCAUUGAUUUCGGAUAUAUUACGUAUACAAGACAAUAAUGGAAUAUAUAUAAAUGGUAAACUAAUUUUUGUAAAAGUAAAUGCCUUCGUGUGUGAUGCACCAGCAAAGGCUUUUAUCGCUGGCAUAAAAAAUCACACAGGAUACUUUGGAUGUGCAAAAUGUACGUACGAAGGUGACUUCGUUGAAAAUAGGAUGACUUUCCCAGACUUAAAAUGUCCUCUUCGAACAGACGCUUCAUUCAAAAACAAAACGCAACCUGAACAUCAUCGUAUAACAACUAUACUUGAAAAUGCAAACAUUGGAAUGGUAUCGCAAUUGCCUUUAGAUUACAUGCAUUUAGUAUGCCUAGGAGUUAGGGAGCAGGCACAUGGAGCGUAACUUGCGUAAGCGUAACCUGAAGUUACUAGAAAACUUCCGCCUAGUUAUUUUACGCCUUUUGCGCUACUGCCGUUACGCCGAAUUCAAUAUCUAGUGAAAGAUACGUUGAUGCAUGUGUGUUAGUGCGUAUUGUUUUUGGCCAUUUUGAACGGAUCAAUCCUUUGUGAUCCACCGGAUUGGGCGCCAUUACAGUGUAACUGUAAAAUUCUGUAAAUUCGUGUAAUAAGAAGAAGUAUUGUUUGAGAAAGUUGUUCUUGCAUGGUGCGGAGCUGCAAAAAUAAAAAGCAAGAAAAUCAAAUCAGGACACGUGCACGCCAAUCAGUUAUACAUUAAUUAACCGCAAACUGGUUGUACUCCACGCUCGAGGAACUAGUUUCCGUACGGUAAAUGCGGAUUCUUUAUACAGAGUGUGAAAUCAUUUCCGGCGCAGCCAGUUAGCAUGGGAAAACAAUUCCGGCGACUUUCCGUCAAAUCUCCAAUGAGAGAUGACAUAGCUGAUGUGGCGUUUUAGAUUAAAGAAUCGUUUCCUACUCUCUCCAAUCUCUGGGUUGGAGAAAUAGCAACACGAAGAAGGCGAAUGUAAGGUACAGACGCACAUUCUUGCGCGAGUCGAGUGCACCACCACGAUUGUUCCGCUCAAAAUUCAAUACAACCCGUUAUGUAAUUAAACAUUCUCCCUAACUUAUCUUUCCUUUGUCAUGUGCAAAAAAACGAUGCUUUGUAACUGUUUAUGUAAUGUGCAAGUAUAAUUUUAUCUGAUUGAAUGUUUUUAUUUGUAUAAAGAAAUGCUAUCUUACUGUGAGGUUGUUUUGUGAAAGAAAAAUGUAAUAAUUUACAAAAAACAAGUGCUGGAAAUGAGAACUUGUUCUCUACAUUGGAAAAGGGUUUACUUCAAGCUAUACCUACAGAUUCGUAGAUGAGUAGAAUGGCGCAGCUCAUUAGCAGACCGAUUAAACAAGUCAAACUUGGAGCUAUCUUUGUGCCAUUUUCAAGGGAAAUUUUACCCACUGAGAAAGACUGGCAUCUUAUAAAGCAACCAAGAAAUAAAUACAGUAGUAUAUGGAUAAAUAUCGAACUCAGCUAUUCGAAGCUACCAUACCUUGCAUAUAUUCCUUAUAUUAUUGAUAAUAUUGAAUUGUAACUGCUUUACUGCUUUACAAAAAGGAGACAAAGAUGUUGUGCUUCUGCGAGAUUCUUUUUGGAAGAUGGACGGAUGUCUUGUUUGUGAUACCUUUAGACGCAUGCACAGAACACAUCGCAAUCAUGUAUGAUCAAUCACAACAGUUGAUUUUAGGCUUUGUGUACACGAUGCAAGAUAUUAAUUGGCUUUUCCAUUAAAGUUGCAAGUUGAUUGGCCACACAAUUCUCGAAUCAAGAACUUGGACCAAUUUCUUGCAUUGUCUACAUAAGGCCGGUAUUCAUAGUCAGAUCUUAUAUUUAAGACCGUCUUUAGUUUAUCUGCAGAUGCUGUAUAGAUCAUUUCAUUGGCUACGGAGUAUCUGAAGAUAUACUUAAGACGGUCUUAAAUAUAAGAUCCGACUACGAAUACCGACCAAUGUGUAUAAAUAAUAAUUCUUUAUUUACGACAAAUGUGUGUGUGAUAUGAAAGAAUGUGUAAACAUUUUGUGGUGAACUUCCGAAAAGCAUCUACACCCGAUUUAUGUGUUCUUUAGUAAAAAUGUUCCAAAUGACUCAAAAUGAAUAUCUUAAAAUGAAUGUUUACCGACGAGAAAAAUAAAGGCAUAAAAACUGCAAAUAAAAAGUAAUGUAGUGAUUUUUUCUUUCUUUCGGCUGGAUUUCUAUAAAACUCUGUAAAUUUCUUCUUUUUUCCUUUAAAAUGUUGUAAAAUCUUUCCUUUUUUAAUGAAACUGAAAGUUCCGAGAAGGAUUGUUGCUAAUCAGUAUAUGGACAGUUCUUUUUAUUGAAGAGCGAAAAUCUUUGAUAGCACGCGUUUUCUAUGGAAUCAUUUUAUAUUUCUACAUGGAUUUCGAAUUGUGGAUCUUGGAACAUAAAGCACGUUAACAGACGCAAAUUCAAACACAUCAAGUUUGUUUUCUUGCAGUAUGCUGUGUAACGUUCACGCGCGAGCAUUAUUUUGUAAGAAAUAAUGAUUUAGGCCUAAAUAAUAAUUGAUACGAAAUAGCGUUACACGUUCAAACGGAGGUCAGUAUGACACAAAGAGGAUCUGAGACAAACAUCUUUCGAAACAAACACCUUGCGAGACAAACAUCUUUGUGAAAAGUCUUGAUAUACGCCUCGAAGGGCAUUCUCUUUCGAGACGGGAAAGUCGUGUAUUCCCUGAGUCUUUGGUUCCGAGAUAUAUAAUUUUAUCUUUGUGUUAAUCUAUCUAUAUAUACAUAAAAAUAUAUUUACUAACAGUAACCCUAUUUUUUUACGAAAAACCGAGAGUGAUAUUGCAAUUGAAAUAAAUAAAAGGAAACUAAAAACUGAAACUGAAAUCUCAAGUCGACAAUUUCGACGGCGUGUUCGUAAUGCUGUAAGAGACAUAAUGGACAAAGCGGAAUAUGCCAAUUAUAAGAGUAGAACUUUGAGGCCUAAUAGUAAUGUUGUUUCAUCUAAUGUUACAAGAGAUAUAUUAAGUAUUCCUUCAGAUCAAUGUACAAGUGAAGCAGUUGCAUCGACUUCUCUACAACAGUACAAGAUACAAGAACAUAAUACUACUCAUAUAUUAUAGAUGAAUCUUGGCAGAAGUGUGAAGAAGAUACUAGUAGCUAUGUACAGAGAGAAGCCUGAGAACGGUCACGCACGCGUUUUAACUGUAACGCCUCAAACGUGGACAUAUGCGUU